GAUGAACGCUGGCGGCGUGCCUAAUACAUGCAAGUCGAGCGAACGGACGAGAAGCUUGCUUCUCUGAUGUUAUCGGCGGACGGGUGAGUAACACGUGGAUAACCUACCUAUAAGACUGGGAUAACUUCGGGAAACCGGAGCUAAUACCGGAUAAUAUUUUGAACCGCAUGGUUCAAAAGUAAAAGACGGUCUUGCUGUCACUUAUAGAUGGAUCCGCGCUGCAUUAGCUAGUUGGUAAGGUAACGGCUUACCAAGGCAACGAUGCAUAGCCGACCUGAGAGGGUGAUCGGCCACACUGGAACUGAGACACGGUCCAGACUCCUACGGGAGGCAGCAGUAGGGAAUCUUCCGCAAUGGGCGAAAGCCUGACGGAGCAACGCCGCGUGAGUGAUGAAGGUCUUCGGAUCGUAAAACUCUGUUAUUAGGGAAGAACAUAUGUGUAAGUAACUGUGCACAUCUUGACGGUACCUAAUCAGAAAGCCACGGCUAACUACGUG
rnacentral:rRNA from 1 species